rnacentral:rRNA from 1 species
UACGGGGAGGCAAGCGUUAAUCGGAAUUACUGGGCGUAAAGCGUGCGUAGGCGGUUCGUUAAGUCUGCUGUGAAAGCCCCGGGCUCAACCUGGGAAUGGCAGUGGAUACUGGCGAGCUAGAGUGUGAUAGAGGAUGGUGGAAUUCCCGGUGUAGCGGUGAAAUGCGUAGAGAUCGGGAGGAACAUCAGUGGCGAAGGCGGCCAUCUGGAUCAACACUGACGCUGAGGCACGAAAGCGUGGGAGCA